AUGAUUAUGUUACUGACUCUACUGCUGACCACCCUGGGGCUCCUGCUUCACGGUUCAUCAGGAGACACCAUCCUGACUCAGAGUCCUGGAUCUCAGUCUGUUGCUUCAGGACAAACGGUCUCCAUCAGAUGUAAAACCAGUUCUAGUGUUUCAGGCUACCUCCACUGGUACCUUCAGAAACCAUCAGAAGCUCCUAAACUCCUGAUUUAUUCAACUUCAAAUCGUCAAUCAGGAGUUCCAGCUCGUUUCAGUGGAAGUGGAUCUGGUUCUGACUACACUCUGACCAUCAGUGGAGUUCAGGCUGAAGAUUCAGGAGUUUAUUAUUGUCAGCAGGGUUUGAGCACACCGUUCACACAGUGAUAGAACGUCGUACAAAAACCUCCCUCAGCUGGAGAGGAACUGAUCUGACUCCACAGCUGCUCUGAAACUG